GGGGGACACAGCCGGGGUCCGGGAUGACAUUUAAGGACAAAUGUUUCACUUUUCCUAUCCGGACGGCCGCUGCACCGCUAGCAGCCGGUGGAGGACUCACAUCCACCUUCACACUUUGUACAGUUUCCUCUGGAUGUCCAUGUUGCCUCUUUGUAUCUCUCUUAUUAUUAUUGUUACUAUUAUUAUGUGUUCACACAGUUAUCAGCGUAACGCCCCCACGUCUUGUAAAUUGAAAUGUUUCCACACUACCUCGAUUCGAAAACAACAACAUAGAAAAUGGUUUUAUUUUGGUUUUACAUUUUUUUUAAUAAUUAUUGGAAUGUUCCUGUACCCCGCGCGCGCUGUCAGAACACUUUUCUGUUUGUCUGCGGAGCCAAAGUUCAACCCUGGAGGUGAAUUUUAAAAACGUUUUUAUGUCCUUUCAUCUUCUGCAUCAUAAUUUGUAAAGUAGUAUUGUUAUAUUAGUUCAGUCAUAUUAGUCAGGUAAUAACUCGAUUUAUAUAGUUUGUACUCUAAAGCAGACAAUGGCGUAUAUAUGGUAUUUUCUAUUUUAUCUCCAGAUUUCUGCUCAUCUGCAGUGCAACAAUACAAAGAAAUCACAAUUCAAGCACUAAACAGAUGGAGCGCGUUUCGUGAGGAUAUUUGACAUUCUAUCGUGCUUGAUGGCUGCAGCCACAAAACUCCAGGAAAACUUAAAGACACUAAAUCGACGGCAUUAGAAGUGACAAUUACGGCACGUCGACGUGCAUUAAAGCACAAUAACGCCACUGAUUGGACUCAAAGGGUAACAUUUGUAAAUGACGCAGAGAAAACAAUGCAGAGGACAUUGGUAAGACACGGCAGUGACAUGUGGAAGGAAUCCAGUGCACAUACAGUACGAGGUCAGACAUCAUCAGAGCGAUAUCAAAGUAGCCAAAUACUGCUGGUAACCAAAUCCAAAAGACAAAUAAUCACAUUUCAGACUUUAUGGUGCCGGGAUCGAUGUCGGACCAUGUUGAGAGCAUGAUGGGGCGUUCUAAUUGUUUUUACAUUUGCUCAAAUGAAGGGAUUUCUAACAUGUUAAGAAGGUAAACCACUAUCUAAAAUAUUAUUUUCUGUAUCAAAAUAUCAGGUGCUCAUGUGUUUGGCUCAAAUAAAACUCCACCUGCAGUCAGUGCUGGACAGAAACUUGUGGUUACUUGACACGUAACUCCGUAAGUAGAGAAUAUUUAAGAGAGGAUUGACGCAUUCGUAUUUUCGGUGUUCAAGAGUCCAUUCUAAAAACGCCACAUCCAUCAACACAAACCAAUCCAAAAUGUGAAUUUACAUUUUUGACAUUUGUUUUAUGUACAAUAUGUGGUCGAACAUGUAUACGAGAUAUCAUUUGCAUACUUUGAUACCAAAAAAGGACAGAAUUUGUAUCCUACAUUUGUUUUAGCUUCAUUAACCUUUUUCCUCUUAUUGUAGGAUUUUAUUAUCUACGCUACUAGCGAGCAUCUCACUACGUCUAGUGCUCUGUUUCCAAAGACAAACAAAUGCAGUUGGAAUACAGAAGUCUUUAUAUAAAUUAUAAUGGAAACAAACACCACGAUGGCACACAAAUCCAGAUAAUGUUUGGAUAUAUUUUUAUGUCUCAUUUUGUUUGUUUAUUUCGAUUUGAUUACAUUUAAUGUUGUCUUAGCUACAGGACCGUCUCUUUUUUUAAGCAACCAUAUGUGAAUUAGCCCAAGAAUGCUCUCUAUACAGUAUGUAGAUAUGCACCCGUCUCUUUUAUUUUUCAUCUUUGGACUUUCGGACUGCAGACAUUUUAACGCAGCCCGACGGACUUAAGGCAACGUCCUCAUUAUUAUUUUGUACCGAGGCCAAAGUCGCACAGGCCUGCCCCCCCCCCCCCCGAGAUGGCCGCUGUCCGAAUGGGGGCGACGUGAGAAGUGCUGACACGGCCCGCUAGCACUGUUUUUUGGUUUUACGGGACACUUGUGGGAAACAAAACUCUACCCCGAUCAAUCGUACGGCCUGAAGCCAGUUUGUCAGCGUGUUUGUAUUUAUUACACAUGUAUGAAAUCCGGAAAAAGCCUAUGUUCCGGAGCUCCUGCGUUGGAAAUCCACCACGGCAUGAUCGCACCCAGCAAGACUCACAAGGAUCUUUCCUCCCGGACUCACCUGCUCAGAGUAACUCAGGGGGGCACAAGGGGCACCGCCGUGCAAAACAAACCAAGCAUCGGCUUGUUUUUGCACCCCUCAAAGAAGAAGAAGAAGAAGAACUUAGAUUUACUUUUCACGUUGCCUGUCAAGUAUUAUUCGAAGCUUCAUGUAAUGAUGCUUUCUAGUUUUUUGAAUAUAAAAGGAAAAGAAAAAACGAACAAUUUGCAAAACAUGAAAUGUUUUAUUUGUUGCAUGUCCUUUUUGUUCUUCAAUAAAAUAACGUACUGCAGUGUUUUGAAUGUUAACUUCUUUUUUAUGAGGAUUUCAGAGUGAAACCGUGGAGCCUUUUUUCUUGACAGGUUUUGACUUUUAAGAUCUCUGCUUAUGUAAAAAGGGUGUCAAAUGGAAAACUGUUGUCUUUUUAAUUCCAAUUCCAAAUGCGUUUUUUCUGUGGGGAGAAAAUAGCUUAAAAGGCGUAGGUUUUAUGGUCUCUUAAUUUGUACUGGCGAUGCGUAUCCCAAAUAAAUACUUUCUUUUGUUGCAUAAAUAAAUUGCAGUUUUUUUUGUCAUUUUCCAUGUGUGUUUUUUGCCUGAUUUGGUUAAGUUUCGCCCACAGAGCUAAAUCUCGACUCAAACUUGUGCGCGGUUCCUCCCCGGGCCUCGUGUAACGGGGUCAGGGUCAGGAGUCACUGUAGGACACAAGUUUGCACGUUGCGGUCUU
ensembl:lncRNA